rnacentral:rRNA from 1 species
GACGAACGCUGGCGGCGUGCCUAAUACAUGCAAGUCGAACGCACUCUCGUUUAGAUUGAAGGAGUUUGCUCCUGAUUGAUAAACAUUUGAGUGAGUGGCGGACGGGUGAGUAGCACGUGGGUAACCUGCCCUAAAGUGGGGGAUAACAUUUGGAAACAGAUGCUAAUACCGCAUAAAACCUAACACCGCAUGGUGUAGGGUUGAAAGAUGGUUUCGGCUAUCACUUUAGGAUGGACCCGCGGUGCAUUAGUUAGUUGGUGAGGUAAAGGCUCACCAAGACCGUGAUGCAUAGCCGACCUGAGAGGGUAAUCGGCCACACUGGGACUGAGACACGGCCCAGACUCCUACGGGAGGCAGCAGUAGGGAAUCUUCCACAAUGGACGAAAGUCUGAUGGAGCAACGCCGCGUGAGUGAAGAAGGUUUUCGGAUCGUAAAACUCUGUUGUUGGAGAAGAAUGUAUCUGAUAGUAACUGAUCAGGUAGUGACGGUAUCCAACCAGAAAGCCACGGCUAACUACGUG